rnacentral:rRNA from 1 species
GACGUAGGGGGCAAGCGUUGUCCGGAAUCAUUGGGCGUAAAGCGCUCGUAGGUGGAUCGGUAAGUCUGCAAAGAAAGACCCGGGCUCAACUCGGGGAACGGUGUGGAUACUACCGAUCUUGAGGCAAUCAGAGGAUGAUGGAAUUCCCGGUGUAGCGGUGAAAUUCGUAGAUAUUAGGAAGAACACCAGUGGCGAAGGCGGCCCACUGGAUCGGUACUGACGCUGAGGUGCGAAAGCGUGGGGAGCAAACAGG